rnacentral:rRNA from 1 species
AGAGUUUGAUCCUGGCUCAGGAUGAACGCUAGCUACAGGCUUAACACAUGCAAGUCGAGGGGCAGCAUGGGUACUUAGCUUGCUAAGGCCGAUUGGCGACCGGGCGCACGGGUGAGUAACACGUAUCCAACCUGCCGUCUACUCUUGGACAGCCUUCUGAAAGGAAGAUUAAUACAAGAUGGCAUCAUGAGUCCGCAUGUUCACAUGAUUAAAGGUAUUCCGGUAGACGAUGGGGAUGCGUUCCAUUAGAUAGUAGGCGGGGUAACGGCCCACCUAGUCUUCGAUGGAUAGGGGUUCUGAGAGGAAGGUCCCCCACCAUUGGAACUGAGACACGGUCCAAACUCCUACGGGAGGCAGCA